rnacentral:rRNA from 1 species
GCAUAUCAAUAAGCGGAGGAAAAGAAAAUAACAAUGAUUCCCUCAGUAACGGCGAGCGAAGAGGGAUAAGCUCAAAUUUUAAAUCUGUUGGGUUCCACUUAACAGAGUUGUAUUUUGAAGAAACUGUUUUCUGCAUCCAGGAUUAGCCUAAAUCCUUUGGGAUAAGGUAUCAUGGAGGGUGAGAAUCCCGUUCAUGGUUAAUCUUAAGGAAGCUUUACGAUACGUUUUCCAAGAGUCGAGUUGUUUGGGAUUGCAGCUCAAAAUGGGAGGUAAAUUUCUCCUAAGGCUAAAUAUUGGCGAGAGACCGAUAGCGAACAAGUACCGUGAGGGAAAGAUGAAAAGAACUUUGAAAAGAGAGUUAAACAGUACGUGAAAUUGUUGAAAGGGAAACGAUUGAAGUCAGUCAUACCAACGGGAAAUCAACCUUUUGAGUUCGGUCUCGUGGGUUUUGAAGAGUUUCAAAGCCUUCGGAUUCGCGGGAUUGGGAUCUCUUGGCGUACUUUUUCGUACGGUUAGUCAACAUCGGUUUUGAAUGUCAUAAAAUGACUGGAGGAAUGUAGCUUCGAUCUCGUAUUGAAGUGUUAUAGCCUUUGGUAGAUGUGAUGUUUGAGGCCGAGGAUUGCAACGGAUACCCUUCAGGGCUAUUCGUCUGAUCUCUGAUACGUUGCCUUGAUGUUGAAAGCUUGCUUAUGAUGUUAGGGUAUUACGGUCAAAAGGUUAGAACGAAUUACAUUCGUUAAGGAUGUUGACGUAAUGGCUUUAAACGAC